rnacentral:rRNA from 1 species
GACGAACGCUGGCGGCGUGCUUAACACAUGCAAGUCGAACGGAAAGGCCCUGCUUUUGUGGGGUGCUCGAGUGGCGAACGGGUGAGUAACACGUGAGUAACCUGCCCUGGACUUUGGGAUAACUUCAGGAAACUGGGGCUAAUACCGGAUAGGAGCUCCGGCUGCAUGGUGGGGGUUGGAAAGUUUCGGCGGUUGGGGAGGGACUCGCGGCUUAUCAGCUUGUUGGUGGGGUAGUGGCUUACCAAGGCUUUGACGGGUAGCCGGCCUGAGAGGGUGACCGGCCACAUUGGGACUGAGAUACGGCCCAGACUCCUACGGGAGGCAGCAGUGGGGAAUAUUGCACAAUGGGCGGAAGCCUGAUGCAGCAACGCCGCGUGCGGGAUGACGGCCUUCGGGUUGUAAACCGCUUUCGCCUGUGACGAAGCGUGAGUGACGGUAAUGGGUAAAGAAGCACCGGCUAACUACGUG